GACGAACGCUGGCGGCGUGCUUAACACAUGCAAGUCGAACGAAGUGGCGAACGGGUGAUUAACGCGUCAUCAACCUGCCCUUCAGAGGGGGACAACAGUUUGAAACGACUGCUAAUACCGCAUUCUUCAGGUGGGGAUUGCGUCUGAUUAGCUAGUUGGGGGGGGAACGGCCCACCAAGGCGAUGCUCAGUAGCCGGGCGGAGAGGAUGAACGGCCACAAUGGGACUGGGACACGGCCCAGAAUCCGACGGGAGGCAGAAGUGGGGAAACUUCCGCAAUGGACGAAAGUCUGACGGAGCAACGCCGCGGGAGGGAUGACGGCCUUCGGGUUGUAAAGCUCUGUUAAUCGGGACGCGGUACCGGAAUAGAAAGCCACGGCUAACUACGUGCCAGCAGCCGCGGUAAUAC
rnacentral:rRNA from 1 species